AGUGAACGCUGGCGGUAGGCCUAACACAUGCAAGUCGAACGGCAGCACAGUAAGAGCUUGCUCUUACGGGUGGCGAGUGGCGGACGGGUGAGGAAUACAUCGGAAUCUACUUUUUCGUGGGGGAUAACGUAGGGAAACUUACGCUAAUACCGCAUACGACCUACGGGUGAAAGCAGGGGAUCUUCGGACCUUGCGCGAUUGAAUGAGCCGAUGUCGGAUUAGCUAGUUGGCGGGGUAAAGGCCCACCAAGGCGACGAUCCGUAGCUGGUCUGAGAGGAUGAUCAGCCACACUGGAACUGAGACACGGUCCAGACUCCUACGGGAGACAGCAGUGGGGAAUAUUGGACAAAGGGCGCAAGCCUGAUCCAGCCAUACCGCGUGGGUGAAGAAGGCCUUCGGGUUGUAAAGCCCUUUUGUUGGGAAAGAAAAGCAGCAGGUUAAUACCCCGCUGUUCUGACGGUACCCAAAGAAUAAGCACCGGCUAACUUCGUG
rnacentral:rRNA from 1 species